CCCCUCUCAGGGUCAUACCUGGAGAGUUUCCAGGACUCUACCAAUCUCGAUUGGGGGAGGGGAGAGUCAGGCAGAGACCUAUCCAUUCCAUUCCUAGCUUGGCCAGUGGCUAGCGAGUGGAAGGCAAUCAGCUACAAGU